rnacentral:rRNA from 1 species
GAGUAGUCUUCGGUUUAAAUGAAUGGGGGAAACCCUGAACUCAGAAAGCCGCUGGGGAAGAGAAAGGUUUUCGGGAUUGAAAGCUCUUUUCUGAGGGAAUAUACACGAAUGCGUGAGCGGAGCUGACAGUACCGUACGAAUAACCUGCGGCUAACUACUG